rnacentral:rRNA from 1 species
AUUGAACGCUGGCGGCAGGCCUAACACAUGCAAGUCGAGCGGAAACGAGAAAGAGCUUGCUCUUUUGGCGUCGAGCGGCGGACGGGUGAGUAAUGCCUAGGAAAUUGCCUUGAUGUGGGGGAUAACCAUUGGAAACGAUGGCUAAUACCGCAUAAUAGCGUUUGCUCAAAGAAGGGGACCUUCGGGCCUUUCGCGUCGAGAUAUGCCUAGGUGGGAUUAGCUAGUUGGUGAGGUAAAAGCUCACCAAGGCGACGAUCCCUAGCUGGUCUGAGAGGAUGAUCAGCCACACUGGAACUGAGACACGGUCCAGACUCCUACGGGAGGCAGCAGUGGGGAAUAUUGCACAAUGGGCGCAAGCCUGAUGCAGCCAUGCCGCGUGUAUGAAGAAGGCUUUCGGGUUGUAAAGUACUUUCAGCAGUGAGGAAGGUCUUGAUUUUAAUAGAGUCAAGAUUUGACGUUAGCUGCAGAAGAAGCACCGGCUAACUCCG